rnacentral:tRNA from 1 species
AUAAAAUUAUUUAAACUCUUAUAUUUUCAAAUUAAAAAAAUAUUAAAAUAUAUAAUAUUAAUAUUCUAAAAAUAAUCAGAUCUAAAUAUUUUCAAAGCAUUUUUGAAAUAUAUAUAUAUUUAAUAUAUAUAAUAAAAAUUAUUAAAAUUCAUUUUUUAAUAAUUUUUGAUUUUAAUUUAAAGAUUCAAUUUUUUUAUUUUAUA